rnacentral:lncRNA from 1 species
ACUUACACAGAUGACUCGUCAGACACAUGUUAUUUUAUUGAAAGGGAAAAACAAGCAACUAAAACAUAAAACAUACUAAAAUUAAAGGAAAACGGUAAAAAGCGAUAAAAGUAAAGGAAAGCGAUUAUUUUAUUGAAAGGGAAAAACAAGCAACUAAAACAUAAAACAUACUAAAAUUAAAGGAAAACGGUAAAAAGCGAUAAAAGUAAAGGAAAGCGAUAAAAAGCAAUAAAAAUAAAGGAAA